rnacentral:rRNA from 1 species
CGUGGUAAUUCUAUGGCUAAUACAUGCGCAAAUACUAUAUUAUGUCACUUAACGGUGGAUGAUAAUAUAGUAGUGUUUAUUAGAUACAGAACCAAUACACCUCCUGUAAAGGGGUGUAGAAAAAGGUGAUUCAUAGUAACCGAACGGAUCGCAUAUAAUAUAAUCAUUUCGAUGAUUAUUGGCGAUAGAUCAUUCAAGUUUCUGACCUAUCAGCUUUCGACGGUAGUGUAUUGGACUACCGUGGCAGUGACGGGUAACGGGGAAUUAGGGUUCGAUUCCGGAGAGGGAGCCUGAGAAACGGCUACCACAUCUAAGGAAGGCAGCAGGCGCGCAAAUUACCCAAUCCUGACUCAGGGAGGUAGUGACAAGAAAUAACAACACUGGAAAUUCAAUUUCUAGUGAUUGGAAUGAUGGGAAUCCAAACCCCUUUCAGAGUAACAAUUGGAGGGCAAGUCUGGUGCCAGCAGCCGCGGUAAUUCCAGCUCCAAUAGCGUAUAUUAAAGUUGUUGCAGUUAAAAAGCUCGUAGUUGGAUAUCUGCUGGAAGCAAUCAGUCCGCCCUUCUAAUGAGGGUGUGUACUUGAUGAAUUCUGGCAUGAUCAUCAUCCUAAUAAUAAUAUUAUAUUAGGUUGAUUCCUAAUAUAAUGAUUACUAUUUGGAUGUGACAGUUACUUUGAGAAAAUUAGAGUGUUUGAAGCAGGCUUAUUGUUGCCUUGAAUACUGCAGCAUGGAAUAACAAUAUAGGACUUCGGUUCUAUUUUGUUGGUUCUUAGGACUGAAAUAAUGAUUAAUAGGGACAGUUGGGGGCAUUCGUAUUUAACUGUCAGAGGUGAAAUUCUUAGAUUUGUUAAAGACGAACUACUGCGAAAGCAUUUGCCAAAGACGUUUUCAUUAAUCAAGAACGAAAGUUAGGGGCUCGAAGACGAUCAGAUACCGUCGUAGUCUUAACCAUAAA